rnacentral:rRNA from 1 species
AUUGAACGCUGGCGGCAUGCCUUACACAUGCAAGUCGAACGGCAGCACGGGAGCAAUCCUGGUGGCGAGUGGCGAACGGGUGAGUAAUAUAUCGGAACGUGCCCAGUCGUGGGGGAUAACGUAGCGAAAGCUACGCUAAUACCGCAUACGAUCUAUGGAUGAAAGCGGGGGAUCGCAAGACCUCGCGCGAUUGGAGCGGCCGAUAUCAGAUUAGGUAGUUGGUGAGGUAAAGGCUCACCAAGCCGACGAUCUGUAGCUGGUCUGAGAGGACGACCAGCCACACUGGGACUGAGACACGGCCCAGACUCCUACGGGAGGCAGCAGUGGGGAAUUUUGGACAAUGGGCGCAAGCCUGAUCCAGCAAUGCCGCGUGCAGGAUGAAGGCCUUCGGGUUGUAAACUGCUUUUGUACGGAACGAAACGGCGAGCUCUAAUACAGUUCGCUAAUGACGGUACCGUAAGAAUAAGCACCGGCUAACUACGUGCCAGCAGCCGCAGUAA